rnacentral:rRNA from 1 species
UACGUAGGGUGCGAGCGUUAAUCGGAAUUACUGGGCGUAAAGCGUGCGCAGGCGGUUUUGUAAGACAGGUGUGAAAUCCCCGGGCUUAACCUGGGAACUGCGCUUGUGACUGCAAGACUCGAGUACGGCAGAGGGGGGUAGAAUUCCACGUGUAGCAGUGAAAUGCGUAGAGAUGUGGAGGAAUACCGAUGGCGAAGGCGGCGACCUGGGUCGAGACUGACGCUGAGGCGCGAAAGCGUGGGGAGCAAACAGG